AUCCAGACUCCUACGGGAGGCAGCAGUGAGGAAUAUUGGUCAAUGGACGAGAGUCUGAACCAGCCAAGUAGCGUGAAGGAUGACUGCCCUAUGGGUUGUAAACUUCUUUUAUAUGGGAAUAAAACAGGGUAUGCAUACCCUCUUGUAUGUACCAUAUGAAUAAGGAUCGGCUAACUCCGUGCCAGCAGCCGCGGUAAUACGGAGGAUCCGAGCGUUAUCCGGAUUUAUUGGGUUUAAAGGGUGCGUAGGCGGGUUAUCAAGUCAGCGGUAAAAUCGUGGAGCUCAACUCCAUCCAGCCGUUGAAACUGAUGAUCUUGAGUGGGCGAGAAGUAUGCGGAAUGCGUGGUGUAGCGGUGAAAUGCAUAGAUAUCGCGCAGAACUCCGAUUGCGAAGGCAGCAUGCCGGCUCCACACUGACGCUGAGGCACGAAAGCGUGGGUAUCGAACAGGAUUAGAUACCCUCGUAC
rnacentral:rRNA from 1 species